AUGUUUUGUAUUUCUAAUCCAUCCGUGGACGCGUGUGCGGUUUGCCACAAAAAAACCCAGAGUCGAGCGACCGCGCCUCCCACCCCGAUCUGGAUCCUCCGCCUCCCCGCCGCCGGUCCGCAUCAUCCACGACGCCAUCCCCGCGCGCCGGCCUACCUCCUCUCCGCCGCGCCCUCCUCCCCACACCACGGCCUGCCUCCUCUUCGCCGCACGCGGUUCGCCGACAGCGAGGCCCAGGCCGCAGCGCUCCAGGCCCGCGCCGGCCGGCUGCAGCGCACGCCGCCGACCACGAUCGGGCUGCUCAACACGCUCCUCGCCGCCAUGGGCCACGACUGGGAGGAGGAGGACGCGCGGGAGGCGGGGCAGCGGCAUAAUCAGCGCGUGUUGGAUCCAGCCGAGGCUGAGGAGCCCGCGAGAUCCCGUGACAGGGGUCUACUCGUCGUCCUCUUGCGCGAGAUGACUGAGGGACGCGGCGGCAUGGGUUUGACUCCAGAGAACAGCGACAAUCCGGCUGCCACCGGACGGAUCCAGAUGGAGGAGGGUCAGGGAGGCGCGCGGGGGAGGCCGUCGAGGUUUGGGGGCGCCGGAUCCAGAGUUCGGGGUGGCGCCAUGGUUGCUCGGUGA
rnacentral:rRNA from 1 species